rnacentral:rRNA from 1 species
UAGGGAAUCUUCCGCAAUGGACGCAAGUCUGACGGAGCAACGCCGCGUGAGUGAAGAAGGAUUUCGGUUCGUAAAACUCUGUUGUUAGAGAAGAACAGCGCAUAGAGUAACUGUUAUGCGUGUGACGGUAUCUAACCAGAAAGCCACGGCUAACUACGUGCCAGCAGCCGCGGUAAUACGUAGGUGGCAAGCGUUGUCCGGAUUUAUUGGGCGUAAAGCGAGCGCAGGCGGUCAAUUAAGUCUGAUGUGAAAGCCCCCGGCUCAACCGGGGAGGGUCAUUGGAAACUGGUUGACUUGAGUGCAGAAGAGGAAAGUGGAAUUCCAUGUGUAGCGGUGAAAUGCGUAGAUAUAUGGAGGAACACCAGUGGCGAAGGCGACUCUCUGGUCUGUAACUGACGCUGAGGCUCGAAAGCGUGGGUAGCAAACAGG